GAGCUGCAUCGGGAAUAAACACCUUAUUGGUCUGUAAAGACGUUUUCAUUAACAGAAGUGAAGCACAAUGACAGAGCUGAGCUGCUUCCAAGACGGGUGGAAGAAAACAAAACAAGCGGCGAUUACAGAUUUGUGAUUUCAGCCGUCGCGUGAAAGAUUCUAGGAGCGAAUCUUUACAGAGCACAAAUAUAUGUAACGUGAGGGCUUGCUGUGUGGCUUGGAAUCUCUCCGAAUGACCAGAAACAGCAAGAUGGAGACGGACAACCCUCCCAGCAGCCUGUCCACUCCUAGCACACAGCAACAGCAACCGAACACUUCCUGUGCACAGAGCUCACGAACACCCCACUGGCCACCCAGGAGCCAGGAAACCCCACACUCGGACCAAUGCAGGGAAAACAACUAGCUGCUCCCUUUAUGUGUCACCACGGCGAAUGAUCUCCUCCUAUCCCAGCAUCCUCCUCUGUCACACCAGCCCUCUGCAUGUCCUCCUUCAUCCAUGACCCUCCUCUGAGAUCUUGCUCCUUUCCUCCAGCCUGGCAGCUCCAUCUUUAACAGCCUUUGUCCCCCUGCACAUGUC